UCGUCUAAGCUUUCAUAGCCGACUCUUAGGACGUCCUCGAUAUCUCGAUCAAGAACAGUCUCUAGCCUCUGCAUUACUUCUUCCCACUCUUCUACGUUCUUCCCUCGCAAAGAUGAACCCACCACACGUAGAGCUAAUGGAAGCUUACCACAAAGCUCCGUUAUCCUUUCAGCAAUCACUUCAAAAUCAUCAUGUGGAUAACGUUUUCGAAAAGCGUAUUUACGCAAGAUAUCGAUAGCUUCAACAUCAGAUGGAAACCCCACAUGGUACGUAUUAUUGAUGCCAUGUUGCUGUAGAAGCUCUUUGUUUUCUGUGGUAACUACAAUCCUACUUCCAGAACCAAACCACGUAGUUUCAUUAGCCAACGCCUCCAACUGUCUUAUGUUGUCCACAUCAUCAAGAAUGAUAAGUACUCUCUUGUCACCCAGCCUUUCUUUUACCACACCAAGAUGGCAUACAGUCAUACCGUUUUGGUUCAGAAUAUUAGAAAGAAGCUGUUCUUGUAAACGCAACUUCAGACCAUAAUCAUCAAGACCAGGUUGGUAGUUUCGCUUACGGUUGUCCACAAAACAAGUAAGCUGAAACCUAUCACGGAUUAGGCUGUGUAAAGCUCUAGCAAUGGUCAUCUUACCAAUGCCUGCUGGACCAGAGAUUGCGACCAUCUUAACUCCAUCAUCAUCUAAAUCUAGCAAAGACUCCAUUUCUGUCAAAUGAGCGUCAAGUCCCUCCAUACCAUCAAAAUCCUUUGAUGGUGUAGCAUUUAGUUUAUCUAUAACAUCUUUUGCAAUUUUCUUGAUCAUUUUUGCUUCGUUGUCCCUAAUUUAUUAGAAACAAAUAAUAAGCAUUUUCUCUGUCAUAUAGUCAUAGAGAUAACAUUACUUACUCUGUUCCAAAAAAUAGGGUUUUUAGUAAUUAAACCCCUCAACUAAAGAUGAAUCGUAAAAAAAAAAUCCCAACUAAAAAUCUUGUGAAAUAAAACCUCAACUUUAAUUCCGUUAACAUAUAUUACCAUCCGUCUAAAAAGCCGUGACAGAGGGUGACAUAUGUUAACGGUUUAUAAGUUGAGGGUUUAUAAUGUUGAAAACUUAGUUGAAGGUUUUUUUUACGAUUCAAAAAUAGUUGAGGGGUUUUAUCACUAAAAAUCAUUAAAUGUUAUUAAAUUAUUUAUUAUCAUUUAUACAUUGUUUUUAAUUGAUUUAUAAGCCUUUAAAACUAAUUUAUAAAUUUUAGUACAUUAAUCUAUUAUAAAAUUAAUUUAUACAUGUUAAAUUAAUAAUUUUCAACACUACUUACAACUUAUUAUAACUUCAAAAUAUUAAAUUAUUUGAUAUUUGGCAAUAGUAGUGUGGACGAUAAUUCAUCCAUGAAGUCAAUCUUUCUAUUUAGAUUUAAACACAUUUUUUCCUAUUUCCAUGAUUUCCGUCCUCCGGCUCAUACUUUCCCCCUAUCCCCCAUAAAUAAUGCAUGAUUAUUUUUAUUCUCAUUGAUUUCUGAAUAAAUACAGUUAUAUUUUUAUUUUCUUGAUCAAUAAUAUAUUAGGGAUAUAUUUUUCUUGAUUUAUUGUAUUACUUUAUGUUUCAGUAGUAUCAGGAAUAAUGUUCGAUUAUUUUAUCCUAACGAGUAGCAGAAAUUGUAAAAACUUAUAAAAUCAUUGUGAAACCGUAUUAAUCAUAUGUAAAAGUAUUAAAAUAUUUAUGAAGCUUUAUAAAUCGGUUAUAAAGUAAUGUAUUAAAAUUUAUAAAUUAUUUUUAAAGACUUAUAUCAAUCUAAAAUAAUGUAUAAAUGAUAAUAAAUAUUUUAAAAUAUUUAAUGACUUUUAGUGAUAAAACCCCUCAAUUAUUUUUGAAUUGUAAAAUAUUUUCAACAUUAUAAACCCUCAACUUAUAAAUUGUUAACGUAUGUCACCCUCUGUCACGAUUUUUUAGACGGAGGGUAACAUAUGCUAACGGAAUUAAAGUUGAGGGUUUAUUUCACAUGAUUUUUAGCUGAGGGUUUUUUUACGAUUCAUCUUUACUUGAGGGGUUUAAUUACUAAAAAUCCCAAAAAAUAUUAUUACAUGUAAAUUUACAUCAUCAAAUAUAUAUAUAUAUAUAUAUAUAUAUAUCAAGAACAGUCUCUAGCCUCUGCAUUACUUCUUCCCACUCUUCUACGUUCUUCCCUCGCAAAGAUGAACCCACCACACGUAGAGCUAAUGGAAGCUUACCACAAAGCUCCGUUAUCCUUUCAGCAAUCACUUCAAAAUCAUCAUGUGGAUAACGUUUUCGAAAAGCGUAUUUACGCAAGAUAUCGAUAGCUUCAACAUCAGAUGGAAACCCCACAUGGUACGUAUUAUUGAUGCCAUGUUGCUGUAGAAGCUCUUUGUUUUCUGUGGUAACUACAAUCCUACUUCCAGAACCAAACCACGUAGUUUCAUUAGCCAACGCCUCCAACUGUCUUAUGUUGUCCACAUCAUCAAGAAUGAUAAGUACUCUCUUGUCACCCAGCCUUUCUUUUACCACACCAAGAUGGCAUACAGUCAUACCGUUUUGGUUCAGAAUAUUAGAAAGAAGCUGUUCUUGUAAACGCAACUUCAGACCAUAAUCAUCAAGACCAGGUUGGUAGUUUCGCUUACGGUUGUCCACAAAACAAGUAAGCUGAAACCUAUCACGGAUUAGGCUGUGUAAAGCUCUAGCAAUGGUCAUCUUACCAAUGCCUGCUGGACCAGAGAUUGCGACCAUCUUAACUCCAUCAUCAUCUAAAUC
rnacentral:lncRNA from 1 species